rnacentral:misc_RNA from 1 species
AUUCGAGGGAAGAGUAGUAACAUAUUUCGAUUUCAUAGAGAGCCGGUGGUGCUGCAAACCGGUAUGUCGUAUAUGCGAAUGGACUUCUUUCAUAAAACAAUUUAAUUAAUAUAACUUUUAAUGAGUGGAUCGGCUUCAACCGGUCAAUAUAGGUGGCACCGCGGCUCUCCGUCCUUAAU